GAAAUGCGAUAAGUAAUGUGAAUUGCAGAAUUCAGUGAAUCAUCGAAUCUUUGAACGCACCUUGCGCUCCUUGGUAUUCCUUGGAGCAUGCCUGUUUGAGUAUCAUGAAAUCUUCAAAGUAAAUCUUUUGUUAACUCAAUUGGUUUCUACUUUGGUAUUGGAGGUCUUUGCAGCUUCACACCUGCUCCUCUUUGUUCAUUAGCUGGAUCUCAGUGUUAUGCUUGGUUCCACUCGGCGUGAUAAGUUAUCUAUCGCUGAGGACACUGUAAAAGGUGGCCAAGGUAAAUGCAGAUGAUCCGCUUCUAAUAGUCCAUUUACUUGGACAAUACUUUUAUGAUCUGAUCUCAAAUCAGGUAGGACUACCCGCUGAACUUAAGC
rnacentral:misc_RNA from 1 species